GAUGAACGCUGGCGGUAUGCUUAACACAUGCAAGUCGAACGGACUCUUCGGAGUUAGUGGCGGACGGGUGAGUAACGCGUGAGAAUCUGGCUUUGGGUCCGGGACAACCACUGGAAACGGUGGCUAAUACCGGAUGUGCCGAGAGGUAAAAGAGAAAUUGCCUGAAGAUGAGCUCGCGUCUGAUUAGCUAGUUGGUGAGGUAAAGGCUCACCAAGGCAGCGAUCAGUAGCUGGUCUGAGAGGAUGACCAGCCACACUGGGACUGAGACACGGCCCAGACUCCUACGGGAGGCAGCAGUGGGGAAUUUUCCGCAAUGGGCGAAAGCCUGACGGAGCAAUACCGCGUGAGGGAAGAAGGCUCUUGGGUUGUAAACCUCUUUUCUUAGGGAAGAACAAAAUGACGGUACCUAAGGAAUCAGCAUCGGCUAACUCCGUG
rnacentral:rRNA from 1 species